AAUAGCGUAUAUUAAAGUUGUUGCAGUUAAAAAGCUCGUAGUUGGACCUUGGGCCUGGACAGGCGGUCCGCCUCACGGCGUGUACUGUCUUGCUGGGCCUUUCCUCUUGGUGAUCUGUGGUUUCGGCCGCAGGGAACCAGGACCUUUACUUUGAAAAAAUUAGAGUGUUCAAAGCAGGCUUUACGCCAGAAUAUAUUAGCAUGGAAUAAUAAAAUAGGACGUGCGGUUCUAUUUUGUUGGUUUUUGGGAUCGCCGUAAUGAUUAAUAGGGACAGUCGGGGGCAUUAGUACUCACAUGCUAGAGGUGAAAUUCUUGGAUUUUGUGAAGACUAACUUCUGCGAAAGCAUUUGCCAAGGAUGUUUUCAUUAAUCAAGAACGAAGGUUAGGGUAUCGAAAACGAUUAGAUACCGUUGUAGUCUUAACUAGUAAACUAUGCCGACUAGGGAUCGGUCGAUGUUAUUUUCUUGACUCGAUCGGCACCCUUACGAGAAAUCAAAGUUUUUGGGUUCUGGGGGGAGUAUGGUCGCA
rnacentral:rRNA from 1 species